GACGAACGCUGGCGGCGUGCUUAACACAUGCAAGUCGAACGAAGUGGCGGACGGGUGAGUAACGCGUAAUCAACCUGCCCUUCAGGGGGGGACAACAGUUGGAAACGACUGCUAAUACCGCAUACUGAAGAGGGGGUUUGCGUCUGAUUAGCUAGUUGGGGGGGUAACGGCCCACCAAGGCGAUGGUCAGUAGCCGGUCUGAGAGGAUGAACGGCCAAAAUGGGAAUGGGAAACGGGCCAGACUCCCACGGGAGGGAGCAGGGGGGAAACUUCCGCAAUGGACGAAAGUCUGACGGAGCAACUCCGCGGGAGUGAUGACGGCCUUCGGGUUGUAAAGGUCUGUUAAGCGGGACGCGGUACCGGAAGAGAAAGCCACGGCUAACUACGUGCCAGCAGCCGCGGUAAUAC
rnacentral:rRNA from 1 species